rnacentral:snRNA from 1 species
GGAUGUGAGAGUGAUCUGGCUGCGACAUCUGUCACCCCACUGAUCGCCAGGGUUGAUUCGGCUGAUCUGGCUGGCUAGGCGGGUGUCCCCUUCCUCCCCUCACUGCUCCAUGUGCAUCCCUUCCUGAAGCUGUGCACAAAUAGGAUGGCCUUCCCCGAAUAGAGACGGACCCGUCUUCAGUCGAGUGUAUACAAGUAGCUGCGUUCCCCUGCUAGAGCCUCCAAACAAGCUCUCAAGGAUCCUGGUUUGAGCCCCCGGCUCCCCACCUGCAGGAGGGUCCCUUCAUGGGCAGUGAAGCAGGUCUGCAGGUGUCUGUCUUUCUUUUCC